AGCCAAUAGAUACCCGGGUAGUCCACGCCCUAAACGAUGUCUACUAGUUGUUGGUGGAGUAAAAUCCAUGAGUAAACGCAGCUAAACGCGUGAAGUAGACCGCCUGGGGAGUACGGUCGCAAGAUUAAAACUCAAAGGAAUUGACGGGGGCCCGGCACAAGCGGUGGAUUAUGUGGAUUAAAUUNCGAUGCAACGCGAAAAACCUUACCUGGCCUUGACAUGCCACUAACGAAGCAGAGAUGCAUUAGGUGCCCGUAAGGGAAAGUGGACACAGGUGCUGCAUGGCUGUCGUCAGCUCGUGUCGUGAGAUGUUGGGUUAAGUCCCGCAACGAGCGCAACCCUUGCCAUUAAUUGCCAUCAUUUAGUUGGGCACUUUAAUGGGACUGCCGGUGACAAACCGGAGGAAGGUGGGGAUGACGUCAAGUCCUCAUGGCCCUUAUGGCCAGGGCUUCACACGUAAUACAAUGGUCGGUACAGAGAGUUGCCAACCCGCGAGGGGAGCUAAUCUCAGAAAGCCGAUCGUAGUCCGGAUUGUUCUCU
rnacentral:rRNA from 1 species